GGGGUUGUGGCUUAGUGGUAGAGUGCUUGCCUAGCAUGUAUGAGGCACUGGGUUCAAUCCUCAGCACCACA
rnacentral:tRNA from 1 species